rnacentral:rRNA from 1 species
GAUGAACGCUGGCGGCGUGCCUAAUACAUGCAAGUCGAGUGAACGGACGAGAAGCUUGCUUCUCUGAUGUUAGCGGCGGACGGGUGAGUAACACGUGGAUAACCUACCUAUAAGACUGGGAUAACUUCGGGAAACCGGAGCUAAUACCGGAUAAUAUUUUGAACCGCAUGGUUCAAAAGUGAAAGACGGUCUUGCUGUCACUUAUAGAUGGAUCCGCGCUGCAUUAGCUAGUUGGUAAGGUAACGGCUUACCAAGGCAACGAUGCAUAGCCGACCUGAGAGGGUGAUCGGCCACACUGGAACUGAGACACGGUCCAGACUCCUACGGGAGGCAGCAGUAGGGAAUCUUCCGCAAUGGGCGAAAGCCUGACGGAGCAACGCCGCGUGAGUGAUGAAGGUCUUCGGAUCGUAAAACUCUGUUAUUAGGGAAGAACAUAUGUGUAAGUAACUGUGCACAUCUUGACGGUACCUAAUCAGAAAGCCACGGCUAACUACGUA